AUCUCUUGGUACAUGAGUGGCUACCACACUGGCUACUAUAUGAGUGAUGAUUCUGACAUUUGGGAUGAUACAGCAUUGAUAAAAGCUUAUGAUAAAGCUGUGGCUUCCUUUAAGCAUGCUCUAAAGAACGGUGACAUUUGUGGAACUCCAGAUAAGCCAAAAGGCACAGCCAGAAGAAAACCUGCCAAGAAGAAUAAAAGCCAAAAGAAGAAUGCCACAACUCCCUUGAAACAGUGGAAAGUUGGUGACAAGUGUUCUGCUGUUUGGUCAGAAGACGGCUGCAUUUACCCAGCUACUAUUACGUCCAUUGACUUUAAGAGAGAAACCUGUGUCGUGGUUUAUACUGGAUAUGGAAACAGAGAGGAGCAAAACUUAUCUGACCUACUUUCCCCGACCUGUGAAGUAGCUAAUAGUACAGAACAGAACACUCAGGAGAAUGAAAGUCAAGUUUCCACAGACGACAGUGAACACUCCUCCAGAUCGCUCAGAAGUAAAGCACACAGCAAGUCCAAAGCUGCUCCGUGGACCUCAUUUCUUCCUCCACCACCCCCAAUGCCAGGGUCAGGAUUAGGACCAGGAAAGCCAGGUCUAAAAUUCAACGGCCCGCCGCCGCCGCCUCCACUACCCCCUCCCCCCUUCCUGCCGUGCUGGAUGCCCCCGUUCCCUUCAGGACCACCAAUAAUCCCGCCACCCCCUCCCAUCUCUCCCGACUGUCUGGAUGACAC
rnacentral:sRNA from 1 species